rnacentral:pre_miRNA from 1 species
UGGAAUGGCUUACGAGACCAACAAUGAGAUUAUCGUUGACCUCGGAGUCAAGCCAAC